UAUAUACGGAGAGAAACCCGUUCUGUUGGAGUGGCGUGUGCAGUAGUGGGUUGUCUUGGUGGGCACCGCGAUGAGAGUUGGACCAAUCUCGUCUGGGGUGGGUAGCCUUCGUAUUUUCGUUGCCACCAGUGCCCGCGGUGCAAUGCGGGCCUGGCUGGCAGGCUCGGGGGAAAGGACCCAUCUGUUGUAUGAGAUUAUUUCAAACCACAGACAACACAGGAUGUCACCUGUUUCGAGAGACUCAGGGUAGGAGGCAUUACGAGCAGGAAGGAUUUUGGUCUGAUGUUUGGUAAUGCUGCUACAAAGUUGCUGGAGAGGUGGCCUACUGUCUACAAGCAGAAAGUCCUGGAACAAAGCUGUGGCCUCACACAGACAGCCGACCUUCAAGAACUGCUUCAAAAUGCUCAAUGCUCAACGGAAGUGGAAGGUAUGCUGAAAAGUAAAGGGCUGGGACAGUGACACGUCAUCUGUUUUGGUUCUUGUCCACCUUCUACCUUCAUCACCAAAUGGCCGCAAGAGACCAGGAAAACUUUCAGCCAGACAAGCCAGUAACCAUCUCGUGAAAUUUGUUAUGACCGGGACGAGCAUCCAGGAGCAUCUGGACAGCAUCACUAAAAGUCUUCAACCCUACCUGCUAGAUGUGGGGACCCAGAAGAGUCUGAUUCACAAGUACUACAUUGUGAUUGACAAACAUGUAAUACCGUGUAAGUCAGCAGACACACUUUCCAGUUUUGAUGAGCUUUUCAAAGCUCAUUUUGUCUUUGGUACGUCGUACAACCAGGAUCUGGUAAACGUGUACAACUUCUUGCAAACCACAAUUUAUGAAAUGGAUGAUGAUACCACGAAGGUGAAUCCAAGAGUUGCAGAGUUGAGAGCUCGGAUGCUUCAUUACAUUGAUACAAAGCUGGUUGGUCUCAAAAGCCUUGAGGCUUCAUUGAGUUGAAAUUAAGAAGUUGUGUUUUUUUUUGCAAAAGUCUCCAUGCAAAUGCUAAUUCCCUAACAAAACACUUGAAGUUGAUACACAGACUUUGUUCAGGAAAGACCCGUCGUCUUAAAUGUGGUUGGGCUGGUUGUUCAGAAGUUUAUGGCACUUUUUCUGGGUUUCGAAAGCAUCUUAAUAAAAGCACAUGAACAGUGUUCUCAUCCUGGUGAAGGCCCAUCUACAUCUGAUCAUUUAGCCGCAAGUCAUUUUGAUGAAUUGGCAGCAAAAAGUUCACUUUCUGAUUCAGUCCUAAAAAGGAGUCUCGUAGACAGCUGUGCUGCAACAGUAGCCGAACUUAAAGUGGCAGGCGUACAAGAAACCACCAUUAACUCUUUGGUCAUUUCAAUGGGAGAUUAUUGAUGAUAUCCAUAACCCGGCAAACAAAUCUGUGAAGAAGUGUCUGUCUUUACCAGAGCCUAUGAAAAGUGAGAUUGAGAGCAAAAUUGAUUAGUGUUUUGAAAAAAUGGAAAAUCCUUUUGGUGUGUUAAAUUCUGAGAGGAAAAAGAAGCACUUUUUUACACAAAAGUGGGGAGGGGUGUGAUUGCCGAUGUGCUGGUAGUUAUUUGUGAUGGCAUUCUUCUACUGUUGGACAGUACAAUGUUGAGUUAAACAUGAUAUGGAUGUUUUUUUGAUUUAUUGUGAAAUAAACCCCUCUUGUGGUGACGAAGUCCUUCUUUUAUAGUUUAUUCAUUUGUUACUCCCCAGCUGUCCUAGACAUCAGUCGAGGGACGUAACAGUGAAAUCAUGGAGUAAAAAAAAAAAGGUAAACUAGGAGGACCGCAUACGUGUGUAUGUCAUGAUAAAAUGAAUACCGCAAAAAAACAUGAAAUCAGCAUCAACAAUAUGUAUUCAUCUAUUAAUGAGAUGUUGAUAUUUUUUACGAAAAAUGCCUCUAGUUUUUUGAAGAAAGAGCCUGAAAGACGUUGAGUCAAAUUAUGAAAUAAAUACCCAAUUACCACAAUUGUAAAUCACAUAUUUUGCCAUGGUGACGUGACCUGUUGCAGCAAAGUGCUGUCCCAUUCAUAUUAAGACCAUUUAAAGCAGUCAGACAUUUGCACUCAACCACUUACCAGGUGACGUCAGUUAGGUUGGAUUGGAAUGGGGCCUCUAUGCGUCCUCUGAUU